GACGAACGCUGGCGGCGUGCUUAACACAUGCAAGUCGAACGGAAAGGCCCUGCUUUUGUGGGGUGCUCGAGUGGCGAACGGGUGAGUAACACGUGAGUAACCUGCCCUUGACUUUGGGAUAACUUCAGGAAACUGGGGCUAAUACCGGAUAGGAGCUCCUGCUGCAUGGUGGGGGUUGGAAAGUUUCGGCGGUUGGGGAUGGACUCGCGGCUUAUCAGCUUGUUGGUGGGGUAGUGGCUUACCAAGGCUUUGACGGGUAGCCGGCCUGAGAGGGUGACCGGCCACAUUGGGACUGAGAGACGGCCCAGACUCCUACGGGAGGCAGCAGUGGGGAAUGUUGCACAAUGGGCGGAAGCCUGAUGCAGCAACGCCGCGUGCGGGAUGAGGCCUUCGGGUUGUAAACCGCUUUCGCCUGUGACGAAGCGUGAGUGACGGUAAUGGGUAAAGAAGCACCGGCUAACUACGUG
rnacentral:rRNA from 1 species